GACGAACGCUGGCGGCGUGCUUAACACAUGCAAGUCGAACGGAAAGGCCCUGCUCUUGCGGGGUGCUCGAGUGGCGAACGGGUGAGUAACACGUGAGUAACCUGCCCUUGUCUUUGGGAUAACUUCAGGAAACUGGGGCUAAUACCGGAUAGGAGCUCCUGCUGCACGGUGGGGGAUGGAAAGUUUCGGCGGUUGGGGAUGGACUCGCGGGUUAUCAGCUUGUUGGUGAGGUAGUGGCUUACCAAGGUUUUGACGGAUAGCCGGCAUGAGAGGGUGACCGGGCACAAGACGACUGAGGGAGGCACCAGACGCCAACGGGAGGCAACGGGGGAAAAUAUUACACAAUGAGCGGAAGCGUGAUGCAGCAACGCCGCGUGCGGGAUAACGGCCUUCGGGUUAUAAACCGCUUUCGCCUGUGACGAAGCGUGAGUGACGGUAAUGGGUAAGGAAGCACCGGCUAACUACGUG
rnacentral:rRNA from 1 species